GGCUCGGUAGCUUAGUUGGAAAAGCACUUUUAUAGCGAAUAAAGGUCGUGGGUUCACUUCUCACUUGAUCUG
rfam:Aedes albopictus isolate Foshan contig111747, whole genome shotgun sequence.